rnacentral:sRNA from 1 species
CCUGCAGCAGCAGCAACCAGGAAGACUGAGUACAAGAACGACUUCUUCCUCAGCCCUGGACCGCAGAGAAGCCUGUCAUCCCUAACUGCACACAUGAAAAGGUUCUCCUAGUGAUUGUCCGUGAGCAUGAAGACUUCCAUGCCUCCUGCAUUUCCUUGGAAGUAGGGUGAGUGCAAAGAGAGCCAAGAAAACAAAGAAAAAUAUAUUGACCUAAAAAAAUCUCAUUAUAUUUGUCAAAAUGGAUGUGUUUCCUUGAGUAGUUGCUUGUUUUUAGAGGAGACAGAAGUAUGUAUGGUAUAGUAGGAGCUUUUCUCCUUGUACUGAACAGCACUUAAUUAGAUUUCUUUAUAUUUAAUAAAUCUUACGUGUGAAAUAUUUAGUAAGUCAACCUGAAAAUCUGAUCACCUCUCUUGACUAAGGAAUGUGAAAUGCUUACUGCCAGGGUAGGGAUGAGGAUCCCUAGAUUAUGGGUAAAAUGAAAGCAGAAAGGUAGGAUAAGGGGGACAAGGUUAAACAGGGAGCACUGUGGGAACAUGGAGGAAGUCAGGGGUGAAGGGAGAGCUAACCCAAGAGAAGGGAGUAUGCAAAGUCACAUGACCUCACAAUCCAACUUAGGAAAUAACUGUAUGAAUAUUAGAAAACAUGUACAAUGAAAGACGGCUGAAUACAAGGGUUAAAGAGAUUACAUUGGAAUGGGGAGAAAGGGGUACUGGAUAGGUUACCCUAAACCAAGGCUAUGUAACAAAGCUUUAAUAAAAGCCACCAAUUUAAAAAGAUUAGAGGUCAGAGAGACCCUAGCAGUCUCUAAUUACUAUUAGCCUUGGUUAACUGCUGUACCUGCACAGAAAGAUCCUAUUGUUGAAAACACCACACACUGAAGCUGUAGGACACAGAGAAGGACAUUUCCAACAGACUAGAAAGUACCUUCUCUGUUGGCAGCUCUCUGAGUGCUGGAAGGUGGCGUAGGAUAGGCUGCUGGGGGAUAAAAGACAUUGGUGCUCUUACUCACAGCUGGAAGCUUCAUGCAGCGAUGCUGAUCUGCCAGGUAAGACAUACACACUGAGGUGAUACUGUGGCGACAAUUAUGGGACAAUAGACCACUUUCUGGUUAUGGGUGAGACUUGCCCCAGAAGAGGGGAUAUCUUGCCUGUUACUCUGAUCCUGGUCAGAAGCUCAUGACUGAGGAUGUUGUAGGCCCCAGGGUAGAACCUACUACUGUUGUUUUGCUAAAUGGUCAUGCUGUCAAAUUGACUUUUCCCCCAACAUAAUAUUUUUAAUUAAUUCUUUGGGGAUUUCACAUCAUAUACAAGUUCUCACACUCACUUCCCAGUUCUUCCCUGGACAUGUCCCUCCUGCCCUCUUGUGAUUUCUCUUUCAGCACGCGCAC